UACGUAGGGUGCGAGCGUUGUCCGGAAUUACUGGGCGUAAAGAGCUCGUAGGUGGUUUGUCGCGUUGUUCGUGAAAACUCACAGCUUAACUGUGGGCGUGCGGGCGAUACGGGCAGACUGGAGUACUGCAGGGGAGACUGGAAUUCCUGGUGUAGCGGUGGAAUGCGCAGAUAUCAGGAGGAACACCGGUGGCGAAGGCGGCCCUCUGGACCGAGAUUGACGCUGAGGCGCGAAAGCGUGGGGAGCAAACAGG
rnacentral:rRNA from 1 species